rnacentral:rRNA from 1 species
AGGACGAACGCUGGCGGCGCGCCUAAUACAUGCAAGUCGAGCGAGAACCAGGACUUCGGUCCUGGGGAGAGCGGCGAACGGGUGCGUAUCACGUGAGCAACCUGCCUCGGAGACCGGAAUAACUCGAGGAAACUCGGGCUAAUGCCGGAUGCCCUCGGUGGACCGCAUGGUCCGGCGAGGAAAUGGAUUCCGCUCCGAGAUGGGCUCGCGGCCUAUCAGCUUGUUGGUGGGUAACGGCCUACCAAGGCAACGACGGGUAGCUGGUCUGAGAGGACGAUCAGCCACACUGGGACUGAGACACGGCCCAGACUCCUACGGGAGGCAGCAGUGGGGAAUAUUGGACAAUGGGCGCAAGCCUGAUCCAGCCAUGCCGCGUGAGUGAUGAAGGCCCUAGGGUUGUAAAGCUUCUUUUGUGCGGGAAGAUAAUGACGGUACCGCAAGAAUAAGCCCCGGCUAACUUCGCGCCAGCAGCCGCGGU